rnacentral:miRNA from 9 species
CUGCGACUCUUGUGCUUACUA